CCCUUAGAUGUCCUGGGCCGCACGCGCGCUACACUGAUGCGUUCAACGAGUUCUUCCUUGGCCGAGAGGCCUGGGCAAUCUUUUGAACGCGCAUCGUGAUAGGGAUUGACACUUGCAAUUAUUUGUCAUGAACGAGGAAUUCCUAGUAAACGCAGAUCAUCAAUCUGCAUUGAUUACGUCCCUGCCCUUUGUACACACCGCCCGUCGCACCUACCGAUUGAAUGGUCCGGUGAAGCCUCGGGAUUGUGGCGAGUUUCCUCUAUUGGGAGUUUGUCGCGAGAACUUGUCUAAACCUUAUCAUUUAGAGGAAGGUGAAGUCGUAACA
rnacentral:rRNA from 1 species